UGAGGAUGUGGUAGAUCCUGGGAGGCCACUCUGAUCCUGCCAACCUUGAGGCCAGAUGAGUCUUUGAAAAACAUGGUUUGGCUUAACACCAGCACUUAGUCUAACACCCACCAUGAAUCUUGCUGAAGUGAAGCUAUACAAAUACCUUUUCAAAAGAUUUUUUUUCAUUCCAGAUCCUUCUUAGAAAUUCCUAAGGCUCAAUGUUGUGUGGAAGAUUCUGAGAAAGAAAAUAGUUUCCGAUCUUUGGGAUUCCCCUGAGAUGGUCCAAUCUGCAAAAAGUUCAUUGCCAUUUCCAUCAAGGACACUGAGAACAAGAGUCUUAUCCGCAUUGAAUCCUGGGAAUUGAGAAGCUUCAGCAGGGCUUCCGCUGGAACUAGGAUGAGGAUGUGGACACCCCCAACCUGGACCAUCUGGCCGAGGAGGGCGUCAAGGCCAAGUACCUCAUGCCACCCCUUGUCACAAUGACCUCCCCGUCCCACUUCACUGCCAUCACAGAUGCAUGUGAAAUUAGGUGCUGUGACUCAGAUCGGGGGACCUCCCUUGGGAGAUCAAUCCCCUGUCCUCCUGCUCUUU
rnacentral:lncRNA from 1 species